rnacentral:rRNA from 1 species
AGAGGUAUAAUCUGCCCAUUGAUUGGGGUUUGAAUGGCCGCGGUAUUUUGACCGUGCGAAGGUAGCAUAAUCAAUAGUUUCUUAAUUGGAAGCUGGAAUGAAGGAUUGAACGAAGUAAGGACUGUCUCCUCGAAGUACAAUGGAAUUUAACUUUUAAGUCAGAAGGCUAAAAAGAAUAGUGAAAUGGAUUUGAAAGACGAGAAGACCCUAUAGACCUUUAUAUGUAUGUAAUUAGUAAAAUAUAAAUAAUUAGGUAAAUUUAAAAUAAUUCAGUACAUUUUUCAUUGGGGCAAUGGAGGAAGGAGGAACAACUUCCUUUGGUAGAGAACACAAAUGAGUGGUGAAAAAAAAAAGAUCCAAUAGGGUUGAUAAUAAGAUGUAGGUACCUUAGGGAUAACAGCGUAAUCUUCCUUGAGAGUUCCAAUCGACAGGAGGGGUUGCGACCUCGAUGUUGGAUUAAGGGAUCCCCUAGGUGUAACCGUUUGGGGGGAAAGUCUGUUCGACUU